rnacentral:rRNA from 1 species
CACGUAGGGUGCGAGCGUUGUCCGGAAUCAUUGGGCGUAAAGAGCGUGUAGGCGGCCCGAUAAGUCCGCUGUGAAAGUCCAGGGCUCAACCCUGGGAUGCCGGUGGAUACUGUCGGGCUCGAGUCCGGAAGAGGCGAGUGGAAUUCCUGGUGUAGCGGUGAAAUGCGCAGAUAUCAGGAGGAACACCAAUGGCGAAGGCAGCUCGCUGGGACGUGACUGACGCUGAGACGCGAAAGCGUGGGGAGCAAACAGG